rnacentral:rRNA from 1 species
UACGUAGGGUGCAAGCGUUAAUCGGAAUUACUGGGCGUAAAGCGUGCGCAGGCGGUUUUGUAAGUCUGACGUGAAAUCCCCGGGCUUAACCUGGGAAUUGCGUUGGAGACUGCAAGGCUGGAGUCUGGCAGAGGGGGGUAGAAUUCCACGUGUAGCAGUGAAAUGCGUAGAGAGUGUGGAGGAACACCGAUGGCGAAGGCAGCCCCCUGGGUCAGGACUGGACGCUCAUGCACGAAAGCGUGGGGAGCAAACAGGAUUAGACUACCCG